rnacentral:rRNA from 1 species
AAUGAACGCUGGCGGCAGGCCUAACACAUGCAAGUCGAGCGAGGACUUCGGUCCUAGCGGCGGACGGGUGAGUAACGCGUGGGAAUAUGCCCUUUGGUACGGAAUAGCCUCGGGAAACUGGGAGUAAUACCGUAUGUGCCCUUCGGGGAAGGAUUAUCGCCAAAGGAUUAGCCCGCGUUGGAUUAGGUAGUUGGUGGGGUAAUGGCCUACCAAGCCGACGAUCCAUAGCUGGUUUGAGAGGAUGAUCAGCCACACUGGGACUGAGACACGGCCCAGACUCCUACGGGAGGCAGCAGUGGGGAAUCUUAGACAAUGGGCGCAAGCCUGAUCUAGCCAUGCCGCGUGAUCGAUGAAGGCCUUAGGGUUGUAAAGCUCUUUCAGCUGGGAAGAUAAUGACGGUACCAGCAGAAGAAGCCCCGGCUAACUCCGUG